rnacentral:rRNA from 1 species
UACGGAGGGGACUAGCGUUGUUCGGAAUUACUGGGCUUAAAGAGUUCGUAGGCGGCGCAGAAAGUAGGGUGUGAAAGCCCUCGGCUCAACCGAGGAAUUGCGCCCUAAACUACUGUGCUUGAGGAACCUAGAGGUGAGCGGAACUGAUGGUGGAGCGGUGAAAUGCGUUGAUAUCAUCAGGAACACCGGAGGCGAAGGCGGCUCACUGGGGGUUAUCUGACGCUGAGGAACGAAAGCCAGGGGAGCGAACGGG